GAUGUCACCCUUGACACGUGUGCUCAAGGUUAAGCUAUCUCUUCUGUAACUCUAAGGGGCAAGGAGGAUCUAUCACCUUUGGCCACCAUGACCACACAAAGGGACCCUGAGUCUGCACAGGUGAUGUCUUUAUCUUGUCAUAGUCCUCUAGGGCUGACAGAAUGCUUUGCAUCCUGAACCAGGGAAGUUAGAGGAAACUAUGAACACACAGAGAUGCCUUCACUAGCCAGCAGCUCUACUCCUCCCCCACGCCCCGGGCUAUGGAAAACCAAGCAGCCCCCUUCCCUUCAGCUCCUAAACCUUUCAGAGGCAUCCAAUGCCACGGUGGAGGGGUGGUGUCACACUGUGGACUGUUAGACCCAUAGGGGGUGAGCUGACGAGACAACAACUCACAGGGACACUUGGUGAGAGUAGUGGUGGGCACCUGGGAGACUGUGCAGAGAUCUCUACAGACCUGACCGCCAUUCGAGGAAGAGGGGAGAGGAGCUGAGCAAGGGACCAUCACAGAACCACAGGAGCACACACAGGAGACAGGAAGCCCCAGGAAGGUGCGCUGAGCGGAGAGCCCUGCUCUUGCUUGGAGUACACAGGUGCCUCCCUCCAGAAAGAAGUACAUCUUUCUUCAUGUCCCCUACAUGGGAGCAGAACCCACAUGGUGUCGCUGCCAUUGGCAAACAAUGAGGCUCUGGGAUGAGGAACAGAAGCAGCAAGCUGUCUGACGGCAGGAGGGGGCCUUAAAACGUCAAAGACGAA